CAGUAGCCGCGGUAAUACGAAGGGGGCUAGCGUUGUUCGGAAUUAUUGGGCGUAAAGGGUGCGUAGGCGGCUUUACAAGUCUUGUGUGAAAUCUAUGGGCUCAACCCAUAGUCUGCACGGGAAACUGUCGGGCUUGAGAAUGGGAGAGGUGAGUGGAAUUUCCGGUGUAGCGGUGAAAUGCGUAGAUAUCGGAAGGAACACCUGUGGCGAAAGAGGCUCACUGGACCAUUUCUGACGCUGAUGCACGAAAGCUAGGGGAGCAAACAGGAUUAGAUACCCCCGUAGUCCCUGUCUCUUAUAC
rnacentral:rRNA from 1 species